rnacentral:tRNA from 2 species
UGCGCUACGGACUUAAAAUCCGUCGACUUUAAAAAUCAUGAGGGUUCAAGUCCCUCUAUCCCCA